AGGAGUUUGAUCAGUGGCUCAGGACGACGCUGGCGGCGUGCUUAACACAUGCAAGUCGAGCGGAAAGGCCCUUUCGGGGGUACUCGAGCGGCGAACGGGUGAGUAACACGUGAGUAAUCUGCCCUUGGCUUUGGGAUAACUACCGGAAACGGUGGCUAAUACCGGAUAUGACCAUGCUCGGCAUCGGGUGUGGUGGAAAGUUUUUUCGGGCCAGGGAUGUGCUCGCGGCCUAUCAGCUUGUUGGUGGGGUAAUGGCCUACCAAGGCUUCGACGGUAGCCGGCCUGAGAGGGUGACCGGCCACACUGGGACUGAGACACGGCCCAGACUCCUACGGGAGGCAGCAGUGGGGAAUAUUGGACAAUGGGCGGAAGCCUGAUCCAGCAACGCCGCGUGAGGGAUGACGGCCUUCGGGUUGUAAACCUCUUUCAGUACCGACGAAGCGCCGAUGAUGGUGGUGACGGUAGGUACAGAAGAAGCACCGGCCAACUACGUG
rnacentral:rRNA from 1 species